UGCCUGCGUGAGUGAAGAAGGCCCUCGAGGUUGUACAGCUUUUUUGUCAUAGGGAUAAACAGGUCUGGCUAAUAUCCAGCAGCUGCUGCCUCCCGCAGGAGUAUAAGCACCGGCUAACUACGUGCCAUGCAGCCGCGGUAAUACGUAGGGUGCAAGCGUUAAUCGGAAUUACUGGCGCGUAAAGCCGUGCGCAUAGCGUGUUUUAUAAAGUCUGACUGUGAAAAUCUCCCGGGACUCAACCCUAGGGAACCUGCACUUGGAAGACUUGGUAAGUGCUAAUAAGUGUUGUCUAGAAGUGGGUGGUAAGAAAUUCUCACUGUUUGUACGCCAAGUUGAACAAUGCUGAUAAGAUUAUUGUAUGGAUGUGAUAUUACCAAGAAUNGUGCUCGACACGAGCNACGCGCGCCACCUUGAGGGAUUAAAACAACNUAGCAACUCCUGUCUAUUGNCCAGCUUGACAAAUGGCUGUUUGUGAGUGAUGGCUAAAAACGAGGAGUAGUUUCAGGGACUUAGCCCGCGUUGCGGAUUAUGCUUCGCAAGCCGGCACGCGUAAUACAACCGGAAUUGCUUCAAAAUCCUUAGGAUUUCGCUACGGUGGUGCUCCCUAUAAAANUAAUAGAAGCCUAUUGUAGGUNAACACCUGGCCACAGUCGUUCAAAACUGGCUUGGUAGCACACGUUUUUUGAAGCUCUGGACGCUUCGCGUGUGGUAGGAUUAACCGUCGUUCCGGGCAAGAUGAAUUCUCAAGUAGAGCUUCCCAAUAAAGGCGGAAAGUAUUGCACCUGCGUGUGGAACGCACUCGAUAACGCAUAGGAUCGCCGUUGGGGAACUAGCAAUNUGUUUGCGCAAUUUNAAAAAUUCUCCGAACUUUGACAAAANCUGGCUGGAAGAACAAAUCCCUUUUAUACCCUAAACGCGCCUGUGGNAAGCAGUUGGGCCCUGUGGAAAUUCCCUUUGAAACGGAAGGAUUUUAGGGAGGAUGUUGGCUGCGCUAAUGGAAGAAAACCGUUGGCCACAGCAGUUGUUGGCUUGGCAUUGGGCCUUGUGCCGGCACAGGCUUCCGUUGGUC
rnacentral:rRNA from 1 species